CUUAUCUCGUUCUCAUCAGAAGACAGAAGUCAAAAGAAAAAGUAGGCGAAGAAGCGAACGUGUCUGCUGGAUUGAUGGAGGCGGAUAAGGGAAAAGAUGUCGACUUUGUUGAUGAAGACAAGGAGCAGGCGGAGAUCCAAGCCGCGGCUCGAAAGUGGGACGACAUUAUGCGGUCGAGGAUCGAUUUAAUGCGGCGACUUGGCCAACCCGUCAGGCUUUUCUACCCCAACAAUCCGGUGGAUCCUCGCAUCCUCCUCAAUCGAGAGAGCAACUGCGACAAGAUCGACACGGGCGCCGGAUUGUAAAGGGGUACAUCCGUACCCGCGACAAGUAAUUCAGAACGGAGGGAGUACAUACAUCCAAGUGGCGAAAGCAGAUAAGCUAGCUUUUGUAGGUCAGGGGAAGGGGAUUUCUUCAUAACUAACUUGUUAUGUGUUUGGAGCUACUACCUCUGUACACUAAUGUGCUACUUUAGUUUACAGAGCGAGUAUAAAUUACCCAAAAAUAUGUUCCACGAAAGAAUGAACGGCAUUCAUGGCCCAAACAUCCAUUUACUUCCUCUUAGGCCAUAUUUAGUGUUUGGUUUUGUUGGCGCCUAACAAGUACUAAGAAGGAUGUCGCAAAAUUAGCACCGGUGCCCAACAUUGUUCAAUGAGAGGUACUACCUCCGUUUCAAAAUAUAACGCGUUUUUUGUAGGCUAGUUUAGCAGCCUUAAAAAAUGUCUUAUAUUUUGAGACGGAGGUAGUAGCAUUUUGUCUAUAUGUAGAUGCACAGUGCAAGCAGUUUUAAGUACAAGCACAGUGCCAAUGGUCCUCUAUUCCUAAAUAGUUGCAAAGAGGUAUCAUUGCCCAAGUUCAAAUCCUUGACAGCCAUGCCGAGUGGAAGCUCAAGGCUCGUCACCAAGAGGUAUCAUUGCAUUUUUAUUUCAUUGUUUCCAUGUUGCGGUUAGUUCUAACAAAUGUGUUUAUGUUGAUCACUUUCCGAAAAUUUAGGCAACUGGAAGUGGCAUUGGCAUCGGCAUUGGCUGGAGGUGGAACCUGCUCAUCUGAAGACAACAACCAGUGAAAUUAGCAGGAAUAUAAGUUAACGACUAAUUUUGGAGUUUGUUUACAACAAUAUAGUCCGGUGCAUGUUAGUUUGCGACUACUGCAAGCAUGUUUUUUCGACUGUUGGAACUUGACGAUGAUGUAAUGCCACUUGUCGACUGGAACCAGGGAAAUAUAGGUGAUGUUGCAGUUGCA